rnacentral:rRNA from 1 species
GUUAAUUGAUGGGGUUAGCGCAAGCGAAGCUCUUGAUCGAAGCCCCGGUAAACGGCGGCCGUAACUAUAACGGUCCUAAGGUAGCGAAAUUCCUUGUCGGGUAAGUUCCGACCUGCACGAAUGGCGUAACGAUGGCGGCGCUGUCUCCACCCGAGACUCAGUGAAAUUGAAAUCGCUGUGAAGAUGCAGUGUAUCCGCGGCUAGACGGAAAGACCCCGUGAACCUUUACUAUAGCUUUGCACUGGACUUUGAAUUUGCUUGUGUAGGAUAGGUGGGAGGCUUUGAAGUGGGGACGCCAGUUCUCAUGGAGCCAUCCUUGAAAUACCACCCUGGCAACUUUGAGGUUCUAACUCAGGUCCGUUAUCCGGAUCGAGGACAGUGUAUGGUGGGUAGUUUGACUGGGGCGGUCUCCUCCCAAAGAGUAACGGAGGAGUACGAAGGUGCGCUCAGACCGGUCGGAAAUCGGUCGUAGAGUAUAAAGGCAAAAGCGCGCUUGACUGCGAGACAAACACGUCGAGCAGGUACGAAAGUAGGUCUUAGUGAUCCGGUGGUUCUGUAUGGAAGGGCCAUCGCUCAACGGAUAAAAGGUACUCCGGGGAUAACAGGCUGAUACCGCCCAAGAGUUCAUAUCGACGGCGGUGUUUGGCACCUCGAUGUCGGCUCAUCACAUCAUGGGGCUGAAGCCGGUCCCAAGGGUAUGGCUGUUCGCCAUUUAAAGUGGUACGCGAGCUGGGUUUAGAACGUCGUGAGACAGUUCGGUCCCUAUCUGCCGUGGACGUUUGAGAUUUGAGAGGGGCUGCUCCUAGUACGAGAGGACCGGAGUGGACGAACCUCUGGUGUUCCGGUUGUCACGCCAGUGGCAUUGCCGGGUAGCUAUGUUCGGAAGAGAUAACCGCUGAAAGCAUCUAAGCGGGAAACUUGCCUCAAGAUGAGAUCUCACUGGGAUCUUGAAUCCCCUAAAGGGCCGUCGAAGACUACGACGUUGAUAGGUUGGGUGUGUAAGCGCUGUGAGGCGUUGAGCUAACCAAUACUAAUUGCCCGUGAGGCUUGACCAUAUAACACCCAAGCAAUU